rnacentral:rRNA from 1 species
GUGCACCAGUCGCGAAUAGUCUACAAUGGACGAAAGUCUGAUAGUGCGACGCCGUGUGUGCGAUUAAUUCCUUCGGGAUGUAAAGCACUUUUCUAUGAGAUAAAAGCUCUUUAGGUUAAUAGCUUAUUGAGACGGAUAUUAUUAUAGGAAUAAGCUCCGGCUAACUCCGUGCCAGCAGCCGCGGUAAUACGGAAGGAGCGAGCGUUGUCCGGAUUUACUAGGCGUAAAGGGCUAGUAGGCGACUAAUUAAGUUAUAUGUUAAAUCCCACGGCUCAACUGUGGUCCUGCAUGUAAUACUGGUUAGAUAGAGUACUGUAGAGGAAGGCAGAAUUCCUGGAGUAGCGGUGGAAUGCGCAGAUAUCAGGAAGAAUACCAAAAGCGAAGGCAGCCUUCUGGGCAGUUACUGACGCUGAAUAGCGAAGGUGUGGGUAGCGAACA